rnacentral:rRNA from 1 species
UACAGAGGGGGGCAAGCGUUGUUCGGAAUUACUGGGCGUAAAGCGCACGUAGGCGGCUUUCUAAGUCGGGGGUGAAAUCCUGGAGCUCAACUCCAGAACUGCCUUUGAUACUGAAGAUCUUGAGUUCGGGAGAGGUGAGUGGAACUGCGAGUGUAGAGGUGAAAUUCGUAGAUAUUCGCAAGAACACCAGUGGCGAAGGCGGCUCACUGGCCCGAUACUGACGCUGAGGCACGAAAGCGUGGGGAGCAAACAGG